CUGCCAUCGCUCCGCCUCCUCCCUCCGGUUCCAUCCAUCCAUUGGCUGUCGCGCGCGUCACGCGGAUCGCCAUCCCAUCCGACGACUCUGCACGCUCGUUGUUGGCCAAGUCUUCUCUAUAAAUGUACGGCCCUUUGCUCUGUGUUGACCCUUGAUCUGUUGCUCGUGCCCCACAAGUUCCCCUCCUCUGUUCCUUCAACCAAGCGCCACCACCACCACCCCUUGUUUCUCCCCACAACAUGUCGAGGGUUGCUCGGCCGGUGAGCGGCACCAAGUUCCUGUCUCGGCGAGCGGCCACGUCCGGCCAUAAUCGUUGUGGUUGCUGCCUAGCACUAGAUGAGAUGCUGACACCAAGUCGCGGGACAACAGCGAAAAAUCCGCACACUAGGCGAGAUAUGGAUGGAGUAUGUUCCUGCAAGGGUGCCGACGGGUGUUUGUUUCGGAAGAUUCAGCACAAACUAGUACAAGCAAAGGUUAGUACGGAAGUAAUGUAUGCAUCAUUGUUUCGGUUUUCCAAUGCUUCCUUCUUUGCAUUGGUAAAGAUGUUUUUGCAUUUGCCACAUGUCUUGAUCUUAGAGUUGUAGACUUAUUCAGUACUAGUUUCAAUAGUUGUAAAACAACACAACAGUGUAGUGUCAUGCAGAUGUAGUAUUAAUCAGAUCCUCAAAUACAGCAUGCAAAUUCUAGUGGUGAUUGAUGUCUGAAAAGCAUCUCUUUAGGUCUUGCUUUGGUUCAUUACCUCGGUUCAUUAUUGUUCUAUAUUGCACAAAUGGUGCAGGUCCUAUAUCAGCAUAUUUCCUACUUAACUUGCUAUCAUCUAUGUUUCGAUCAAAUUCUCCAUCCCCUUGUAUUUACCUAACCAGCUAAUUAGUUUUGUCCUCUGAAUCCUGUGAUAGACCACGUAAUAUAUACAUCGGAAAAGGGAAAGGAAAAUAUAGAUGAGCGGAGCUGGAUGAUCUUAUAAAUAAACAAUAUACGUUGAUGCCACAAAGAAUUUACUACUGCUUCCAUCAGUAUGUGUUUUUCCUGCUCUAUUGACAAAAGAUUUCUUGGAAAAGACUGGUUGAAUGGUUAUAGUAGUAAUCUUGGGCCCAAUACACAUUCUGCAGUGAGGAUGACACGGCAAAGAAGUCUAAGUCAGCUGAUCUAGAGAUGUAGUGCAACUUAUGUGUCAAUCACUUUUAUAUUUUAGUGAAGGAAAAUGGUUGGACCUUGGAUAGAUGACACGUCUGGUAUUGAUUCAACAGUGAUUGCUUGAUAUAGGCAAUGUAUUUGUUCCUGCAAAACAUCAUCUCUUGAAUGUUUUCUUAAUGUUGAAUUCCUCCACUAAUAAUGUAGUGUUGUUGUGGGUGCAUUCCGUUCCGAUGCGUUAUGCUGCCGAAAUUUCUAGCCGAAAAUGUAUGAAGGUUGCAAAAACUUUUACAACAACAUAACAUAGCUGAAAACAAUAAGUUUAAUCACUAUGACCCUUCAUUAAGGUUUAUUAAAAGUCCUUCAGUAAUUUUAAAUGUCUAAAUGACACUUUUUUUGCGGGUGUAAAUUAUACUUGUUUUUAGGCAAUGCUUUCACAUUCCAGGAUUUUAUCUAGAUUCAUUACAACUGCAGUUGCCUUCUAACACAAGCUUGUUAAUGUUUCCUUUUUUUUUUCAUUUGUCAUCUUUUUUUGCGGUCAGAUAUGCGCAAGUAAUCGGACACUAGCUUGGCCUAUCUUGAUGGUACCAAACUGCACUCUAGAACACUAGCUAGCUCUAUUAGGUAUCUCUUUGGUGGUAUUAUUACAACAUUUUGUGUCGUCCCUUUGGCUUGUCUUUUUUUUUUAUCUUUGGUAUUGCUUAAUGAGCUUUCUUUUGUUGCUUUGACGAUGUGGUAGAAUGCCAUGAGAGGUAGUUGCUGUAUAUUGCAUGAGGGAAGACGUUGAGCUUCUAUUUUUCCUUCACGUGUAAAUUGACCUCUUAAUGUGUGCAUUCUUGUAAUGGCAUGUAGUGGUUGCCCCAACUUGCGCUCGAAAUAAAAAACCUCCCCAACGCGUUAUGCUGCCGAAA